CCAAAAAAUUAAUAAAUAAAUAAAAUAAAGGCUGGGUGGAAUGCAUUAGUAUCACUACAAAUCUGAAUCUGUGAGAGACUAAUAUCAAUAUCAUUGGGAAACAUAAACCGUAGACUUAAAUGAUAAUGAGCCUAAAAAUAAUAUUUCAGUGUGCUAAUGACUCAUAAGCAAAGCAUUUUACAACAGAGUCAUUAGGGUUUAAGAAGAUGCCCCCAGUUUUCUGUGCCCUGAUGAUGUGGGCCCAAGAGUGGCACUAGGGGACUUUCCAACUUGGGGUGCCUCGGAGGGGCAGAGAGAAAGGUCAGUGGAGGGCCCUAGGCUUAGCUUGGUGGCAGCUGCUUGGGUUUAUGGUUCUGGAGUUGCAGCUAAAUGAAAGGAAAUAGGUGGUGCUUUCAGCUACGAGAAACAGAAACUCUGACUCAGCUGGGUCUAAAAUGAAGCAGAAGCGAUCACCUCACACACCAGGAAACAGGAAGCCAGGGUAGGUGUGGCCAGUGAGUAAAUGAUUCAGGGUUUAACAAUGGCAGUAGACUGCAACUCUUUCUCUUCCUCGCCUGCUGCCCAUAGCAGGAGCUUCAGCUGCAACAGAGGAGCCAAAGGCAGCAACCAGGUGGUGUCUGUAUUCACAUCAGCUGUCCAAGGGACACAGCUCAGCCAUGGGGUGCAAAGCUCUGUAGUCCGCUGAAGAGAGAAAAGAGCCAAACAAAGAUGAACCAGAGUCUCUGCUAACCAAGAAAGUGCCUCAGAGUCCCCAAAGGAUAGGACUUGGUGCCCAAGUUGGAUUUGGACCUCAAGAUGGUGCACAGUACUUGAAAAGUACUGUCGAAUGGAUGAAUACAUCGUCCAGACUGGAGACCUUUGGGAUUCCUAAGCUUGUUGUCCUCACCCCACCUGUUGGAGGCAAGACUGCUGUGAGAAGUGACCAAAUCGGGAAUCCCUUUUCGUGCUGUUGAAGUGCACAGCAUUUUGUCCUCAUCUGGGUCCUGUCCUGCCCCUCUCACUGUCAUCCAGGCGUUUGGUAGAGGUCUCAGGAUUGCUGCCCUGGAGACAGGAUGACAGGCCAUCCUAUGGUGGUGUUUGCAGGGUGCUGCAGUGUGGGGGCAGUGGAGGGGCACUGCUGUGUGGAGCUCCCGAGACUGAGAUCCAGAGCUGCAGGUGCUGACAAGACAGGGCUGGCUUAAGGGGGGCAGGGUUAGUGCAGUGAAAUACACGUGAUGUGUCACAGUGUGCAGUUCUGUGGCAUUGAGUACAUUCAUACUGUGCAGCUGUCACCACCAUCCAUCUCUGAAGUAUUUCCAUCCCCCCAAACUGAGACUGCACAUAGGAUUCCUCCCCACCUCACCCCUCCUCAGCCCCUGGACCCACUGUCCUCUUUCCACCCUCCAGGGAUCUCAUAUAAGUGGACUCACAUAGUGCUUGCCCUUUUUCAGCUGGCUUAUUUCACUGCAUAAUGUCCCCAAGGUCUGUCCAAAUUGUCACAUGUGUUGGAAUUUCCUCUCUUCUUCAGGCUGAAUAAUACACCAUUGUAUGGAUAUACUAAAGGGAUGAUAGUUUGAUAUCCAAAUCCUACUUGAAAAUUUGUAAAACAUAUGUCUGGCAAUUUUUUGUUUAUUUUCUCAAUAGUCUCUACUGAUCUUGAAUCUGGUCCCAGUUGAAAAUAAAUAAAGAUAUAACAAAAUAUUAGAGAAUGACACUUCAUAUUUCCAGUGUUGGAAGAGAUGUAGGAGAGCACAUGGGAACAUUGUCUCCUCAGCCAUCAUGCCAGUCUGAGGGGUCUUCUCAUCUCCUGUUUCCACGUCAAGAGCAGGGUCAGACCCUGAGCUGGUGUCUACCUAAACAAUGCCUCCAUCAGGAGAGCAAAAGGAUCCAUUAAUGUGAUUUGGAAUGGACACAUUUAAAGCAAAAAGCACAUUUUUCUCUCUAACUCUCACUCAACACGCUUCUGACCCCUAUAAUUUAAUUCUGAUAGUAUCCGGCUGGAGACAGUGUCAGACCUUCCAGGCUGAGGGCUCAGUCCCACAAGACUGCCCUGCAUGUCAGAUGCCACUUGCAGCCGCAGGUUGUGACUGGAACUUCUGACCUAUUGGCCAUAAGUUGGGCUUCUCCUGACUUCUUCAGGUUUCAUGAAUUUGCUAGAGUGGCUUAGAGAACUCAGGGAAACACAUUUACCAGUUUAUUAUAAAGGAUACUACCAAGGAUUCAGAUGAAGAGAUCCAGAGGUUGAGGUAUGGGGAAGGGGUGCAGAACUUCCAUGAAAUCUCUUCAUAACCCUAGACAAUCUUGUCACUUAUCUCUGACAUUUUCUUUGGCCCCACACAGAAUUCCAAGGAGAAUCAUUCAGAGUUCACUGGUCUCUUCUGCUGCCCAGUGGGUCUUGUUCUGGACCAACACUAUAUACAGUCUGCUGCUGUCCACUCAUGCUGAGGGCAGAGCUGUCAUGACCCGUGCAGCACUAACCUGGAAUUAGCUUCAGAGAUCUGCAAGUGGAGUAGCCUGUGAUAUCUUCCGGGGGCAGCACUUGAUUCAUUAGCUGUGAUGCUUGUCAGGUCGUGGCCAGAUGCACCUAGCUUGCGGGCAGUGUGAGGACUGAGUUAGUGUAUGGAUGUGCCCAGCAGGUGGCUGAGGCGAGGGUGGGGAUGGAGUUCUCGUUGGCUCAGUUUACCCUUGUGUACAUGGACCAGCCUGGUGCUCUUGCCAUCUCUUUGGCAGAGCUCUGUAGAGGUGACCUUUCCUCAGUGUGCCCGUGGUGGCCUCAGAACACACAUAUCCCAGAGGCACCCAGCCAGGCCACACAGGGGUGAUGGAGAGAGUCAGCCCUUCUUCCCAAGCCCAAGGUGGCCCUGGAGUUGGACAGCAGAGCAGAUGAAGCUGUGAUUAAGGAACUCCAGAGAAAAGUAGCCUGACAUGGACUCCUGGUCCCAUCUCUGGAGAGUUGCAGAGGGUGGGGGACACGGACCUACGUUUGGACUGAGGCCUCAGGAUCUCUUCUAGCUCAGAGCUGAGAAGCAGUUUUAGGAAUGAUGAGACCACUUAGGGCAACACAGCAGCACUGGCAAGUCAAUACAGGGCUGCCCUGAAGAGUGAGUCCCUUGGGGAGGGUUUACACUUGGCCCCCUGACUCAGGCUUGGCUCUGAAGUGUCAGGAAGCUCUUUUGGGAUUCCUUCCAAAAUUUGUUUAUUUUGGCUGUGUGGUCUGGACAACAUGUCUUAGGUAUAAAAAAUGACUCUUAUUUCACACCACCAUUCUCCGCAGUGUCUGCUUUAAACUCCGAAAUGAGAGUUUUCUUCUACAAACAGGCAAAAUUGCCUGGAACUUUUUGGGUAUAUACAGUGAAAAACAAUGCUGGGUAAUAUAAUUUUUGGUGAAAGCCCAGAAACAAGACUGGCAGCUCACAAACUAGCCCUGAGGGCAAGUCCAACGGGGGACCCCAGAAACAUUUGUAUUAGGUGGGUUGGGGUUGGGGGGCCGCAUCUGAGAUCACACCAGCUGCCACUGCUGAUGGUGGGAUUUGAAUUUACAAAGCACACUGAUUCUGGCUGAGGAGCCUCUUCCAACACGGCCCAGGAUUUCCUACUGCAGAAAUGAUGCUCUUUUCUGAGAUUUCCCUGUUGUCACUGUGCAGCCAGUGACCCUCCCAGUGCUGGUGUGGAACAGGUCUGUCUUGGAGCCUGGAAGCUUUCCAAGGCCAGACAAUAGCUCCUUCACCCAGGAUCCUCGAAACUGGGCUCAGAUUACUCCCUGUCCUGAUACCAGGAAAUUUAUUUUUAGAUCAGAGAGAGUGUAGGGAGGAGGAGGUUGGA